UACUUAUCGAAAGAAAAGAGAAAUACGCGCAAAUCUAUCACCAACGAUACAUUAGAGACUUAAUAAAUUAACCAAGCCAACUAAUACCUCGAUACCAAACCAAAGUUCACCAUAACACUGUCAAAACAUCGACUUUCUAAGCCGACUUCCGAAACAUGAUCUACCUUGAGCCAACUCCCUAGGAGUCCUUCAGCUCUCAACAUCCAAUAGCUGCUUGUGACACUUGGUCAUAAACCACACGAACUGAAGCCUCAGAAAACGAUUUCUUUAACCGAUUUUCAAACCACACCUAAGCAACACCCAACGCUCCAAGACCUCCAUCCAUAACACACCAACUUAG
rnacentral:lncRNA from 1 species